rnacentral:lncRNA from 1 species
CUUGGAUACGCGCGGCCGGGCCUCUCCGCCCCAUAGGCUGGCCGCCUGUCCCUCUUCCCCGGCCCACUCCUCAUUGGCUCGCGUCGCCUCCGGCUUCGGGGGUCCUGGAUUCGGAUGCUAAGAUGCGGGACUGAUUGGCUGGAACGGGGCAGAGACUGCUGAGGUCAACCCCGCCUCGCCCGGCGUCUCCCGGGCCCGGCUUGUGGAGUUCACGUAGGAGCUUCUCAUACCUUCCCGCCGAGCCCCGGGCUCCUGGCGUCGCGACCCCUUGCCGCACCUCUAGCGCCCUCAAGUUGGGGCUGGGUUACGUCCCUCCUGUUCCCCAGAGACACUCCUAAAAUUCCUUCGGUGAGGCAGAGCCUGGAAAAACCUACCCAGGAAAUCCCUGAGCUUGCUCAGCUGGAAAAGGGGGCUCCAUCAUGAACCGGGGCUUCGGGUUUUUAUAAACCCCGCUCACUGGAGCGCCCAUUGUCUGCUAAGCAGCUGCCUUGCUGCAAGAAGGUGAAUGCGAACUGAUGUGGGCCACAUCCUACGGAGACAGACAUCAGGACAUCCGUGACUCCUGCAAGCCUGAAGAAUAGUCUUUCCAUACGUUUGGCCUCUCUCACCUUCCUCUUCUGAGGGGAGUGAGAGCUUCGGACAAGUUUGGUUCCAG